UGCGUAGGCGGAUUAAUAAGUCAGUGGUGAAAACCUGCAGCUUAACUGCAGACCUGCCAUUGAUACUGUUAGUCUUGAGUACGGUCAAGGUAGGCGGAAUGUGUAAUGUAGCGGUGAAAUGCUUAGAUAUGACACAAAACACCAAUUGCGAAGGCAGCUCGCUAAGCCAUAACUGACGCUGAGGCACGAAAGCGUGGGGAGCAAACAGGAUUAGAUACCCUGGUAGUCC
rnacentral:rRNA from 1 species